AUUGAACGCUGGCGGAAUGCUUUACACAUGCAAGUCGAACGGCAGCACGAGAGCUUGCUCUUGGUGGCGAGUGGCGAACGGGUGAGUAAUAUAUCGGAACGUAUCCAAUAAUGGGGGAUAACUAAUCGAAAGGUUGGCUAAUACCGCAUACGCCCUACGGGGGAAAGCAGGGGAUCUUCGGACCUUGCGUUAAUGGAGCGGCUGAUAUCUGAUUAGCUAGUAGGUGAGGUAAAGGCUCACCUAGGCUUCGAUCAGUAGCUGGUCUGAGAGGACGACCAGCCACACUGGAACUGAGACACGGUCCAGACUCCUACGGAGGCAG
rnacentral:rRNA from 1 species